rnacentral:sRNA from 1 species
AAAUCUUUAGCGCCUAACAGCACAUUCUUUAAUUACAUUUUCUCAAAUCAAAAUAUACAAAAACAAAUUGACAAAAAAGGUAUCAUAAUUCAUAAAAAAGACGCGGCCGACGGACAAUUUGGUUGAUUGACAAGGCAAUGGAGCAAAUAUGCAGAGUUUGCACGGGAAAGUCUAGUGAAUUUACAAACAUAUUUGAGGAGGCACAGAAAUGGGACACUUGCAUUGGUGACAUGAUAGCGCAGUGCACCGGGUACGACGUUAAGCGAGGUGAUUCAUUCCCUGAAAAUAUAUGCCCGCCAUGCCUUAAGGAUGCAGUAAAUGCCUUCAAUCUUAAGCAAACCUAUGAGCAAAGCCAUAAGCUCUACUUCCCAGUGAUGAAGAGGGGUAUACAAGAAGAUCUCUGUGACAACGCUAAAGACGAGCAGGACUGGGAGCUGUCUGAUAGUAUAAAGUGUUUCAAAUGGCUAUCAAGGGGGUAAAAGUAAAGGGGCGGUGUGGUUAAUAGUAAAUAUAGCUUCAGAGAUCGGCUCGACAGACAAUGAUAUUUUAUUUAUUUGUUUUUGCGCCCUAAGAAAACACCCGCGUGUUAAAUUGCUCGAACCGUUUUCCGAAGCCAGAACAAAACAAAACGAAAAAUCUAAAUGAAACGUGGGCGCAAAGAUGAAUUAAAAAAAGAAUAAUGAAAGUUACUCCGAGUUUCAAUCAAUUACAAAAUUGCUUGGCACGCGGAAAAAGUAUUGUUUUUCACGGCUGACACGUCUGUCUUUCUGUUGAACACGAAAAAGAGUGAAAUGAAAAACGAAAGAAAAAAAAAACAUAAAAAAGAACAUGCCUUAGACGUAACGUUUUACGAGCCUAAAUACAAAAAAAAAAAAA